rnacentral:rRNA from 1 species
UAAGCGACUAAGCGUACACGGUGGAUGCCCUGGCAGUCAGAGGCGAUGAAGGACGUGCUAAUCUGCGAUAAGCGUCGGUAAGGUGAUAUGAACCGUUAUAACCGGCGAUUUCCGAAUGGGGAAACCCAGUGUGUUUCGACACACUAUCAUUAACUGAAUCCAUAGGUUAAUGAGGCGAACCGGGGGAACUGAAACAUCUAAGUACCCCGAGGAAAAGAAAUCAACCGAGAUUCCCCCAGUAGCGGCGAGCGAACGGGGAGCAGCCCAGAGCCUGAAUCAGUGUGUGUGUUAGUGGAAGCGUCUGGAAAGGCGCGCGAUACAGGGUGACAGCCCCGUACACAAAAAUGCACAUGCUGUGAGCUCGAUGAGUAGGGCGGGACACGUGGUAUCCUGUCUGAAUAUGGGGGGACCAUCCUCCAAGGCUAAAUACUCCUGACUGACCGAUAGUGAACCAGUACCGUGAGGGAAAGGCGAAAAGAACCCCGGCGAGGGGAGUGAAAAAGAACCUGAAACCGUGUACGUACAAGCAGUGGGAGCACGCUUAGGCGUGUGACUGCGUACCUUUUGUAUAAUGGGUCAGCGACUUAUAUUCUGUAGCAAGGUUAACCGAAUAGGGGAGCCGAAGGGAAACCGAGUCUUAACUGGGCGUUAAGUUGCAGGGUAUAGACCCGAAACCCGGUGAUCUAGCCAUGGGCAGGUUGAAGGUUGGGUAACACUAACUGGAGGACCGAACCGACUAAUGUUGAAAAAUUAGCGGAUGACUUGUGGCUGGGGGUGAAAGGCCAAUCAAACCGGGAGAUAGCUGGUUCUCCCCGAAAGCUAUUUAGGUAGCGCCUCGUGAAUUCAUCUCCGGGGGUAGAGCACUGUUUCGGCAAGGGGGUCAUCCCGACUUACCAACCCGAUGCAAACUGCGAAUACCGGAGAAUGUUAUCACGGGAGACACACGGCGGGUGCUAACGUCCGUCGUGAAGAGGGAAACAACCCAGACCGCCAGCUAAGGUCCCAAAGUCAUGGUUAAGUGGGAAACGAUGUGGGAAGGCCCAGACAGCCAGGAUGUUGGCUUAGAAGCAGCCAUCAUUUAAAGAAAGCGUAAUAGCUCACUGGUCGAGUCGGCCUGCGCGGAAGAUGUAACGGGGCUAAACCAUGCACCGAAGCUGCGGCAGCGACACUAUGUGUUGUUGGGUAGGGGAGCGUUCUGUAAGCCUGUGAAGGUGUACUGUGAGGUAUGCUGGAGGUAUCAGAAGUGCGAAUGCUGACAUAAGUAACGAUAAAGCGGGUGAAAAGCCCGCUCGCCGGAAGACCAAGGGUUCCUGUCCAACGUUAAUCGGGGCAGGGUGAGUCGACCCCUAAGGCGAGGCCGAAAGGCGUAGUCGAUGGGAAACAGGUUAAUAUUCCUGUACUUGGUGUUACUGCGAAGGGGGGACGGAGAAGGCUAUGUUGGCCGGGCGACGGUUGUCCCGGUUUAAGCGUGUAGGCUGGUUUUCCAGGCAAAUCCGGAAAAUCAAGGCUGAGGCGUGAUGACGAGGCACUACGGUGCUGAAGCAACAAAUGCCCUGCUUCCAGGAAAAGCCUCUAAGCAUCAGGUAACAUCAAAUCGUACCCCAAACCGACACAGGUGGUCAGGUAGAGAAUACCAAGGCGCUUGAGAGAACUCGGGUGAAGGAACUAGGCAAAAUGGUGCCGUAACUUCGGGAGAAGGCACGCUGAUAUGUAGGUGAAGUCCCUCGCGGAUGGAGCUGAAAUCAGUCGAAGAUACCAGCUGGCUGCAACUGUUUAUUAAAAACACAGCACUGUGCAAACACGAAAGUGGACGUAUACGGUGUGACGCCUGCCCGGUGCCGGAAGGUUAAUUGAUGGGGUUAGCGCAAGCGAAGCUCUUGAUCGAAGCCCCGGUAAACGGCGGCCGUAACUAUAACGGUCCUAAGGUAGCGAAAUUCCUUGUCGGGUAAGUUCCGACCUGCACGAAUGGCGUAAUGAUGGCCAGGCUGUCUCCACCCGAGACUCAGUGAAAUUGAACUCGCUGUGAAGAUGCAGUGUACCCGCGGCAAGACGGAAAGACCCCGUGAACCUUUACUAUAGCUUGACACUGAACAUUGAGCCUUGAUGUGUAGGAUAGGUGGGAGGCUUUGAAGUGUGGACGCCAGUCUGCAUGGAGCCGACCUUGAAAUACCACCCUUUAAUGUUUGAUGUUCUAACGUUGACCCGUGAUCCGGGUUGCGGACAGUGUCUGGUGGGUAGUUUGACUGGGGCGGUCUCCUCCUAAAGAGUAACGGAGGAGCACGAAGGUUGGCUAAUCCUGGUCGGACAUCAGGAGGUUAGUGCAAUGGCAUAAGCCAGCUUGACUGCGAGCGUGACGGCGCGAGCAGGUGCGAAAGCAGGUCAUAGUGAUCCGGUGGUUCUGAAUGGAAGGGCCAUCGCUCAACGGAUAAAAGGUACUCCGGGGAUAACAGGCUGAUACCGCCCAAGAGUUCAUAUCGACGGCGGUGUUUGGCACCUCGAUGUCGGCUCAUCACAUCCUGGGGCUGAAGUAGGUCCCAAGGGUAUGGCUGUUCGCCAUUUAAAGUGGUACGCGAGCUGGGUUUAGAACGUCGUGAGACAGUUCGGUCCCUAUCUGCCGUGGGCGCUGGAGAACUGAGGGGGGCUGCUCCUAGUACGAGAGGACCGGAGUGGACGCAUCACUGGUGUUCGGGUUGUCAUGCCAAUGGCACUGCCCGGUAGCUAAAUGCGGAAGAGAUAAGUGCUGAAAGCAUCUAAGCACGAAACUUGCCCCGAGAUGAGUUCUCCCUGACUCCUUGAGAGUCCUGAAGGAACGUUGAAGACGACGACGUUGAUAGGCCGGGUGUGUAAGCGCAGCGAUGCGUUGAGCUAACCGGUACUAAUGAACCGUGAGGCUUAACCU